rnacentral:rRNA from 1 species
UACAGAGGGUGCGAGCGUUGUCCGGAAUCACUGGGCGUAAAGGGCGCGUAGGCGGCUUGAUAAGGUUGCGGUGAAAGCCCGGGGCUCAACCCCGGGUCGGCCGUGGCAACUGUCGAGCUGGAGCACUGUAGAGGCAGGUGGAAUUCCGGGUGUAGCGGUGGAAUGCGUAGAGAUCCGGAAGAACACCGGUGGCGAAGGCGGCCUGCUGGGCAGUGGCUGACGCUGAGACGCGAAGGCGUGGGGAGCGAACGGG